GACAGAGGGGGCAAACGUUGUUCGGAAUUACUGGGCGUAAAGCGCGUGUAGGCUGCUCGGAAAGUCGGAUGUGAAAGCCCUAGGCUCAACCUAGGAAGUGCAUUCGAAACUUCUGAGCUUGAGUAUCGGAGAGGGUCGCGGAAUUCUCGGUGUAGAGGUGAAAUUCGUAGAUAUCGAGAGGAACACCGGUGGCGAAGGCGGCGACCUGGACGAUUACUGACGCUGAGACGCGAAAGCGUGGGGAGCAAACAGG
rnacentral:rRNA from 1 species